GACGAACGCUGGCGGCGUGCUUAACACAUGCAAGUCGAACGUGAUUUUUGUGGAAAUUCUUUCGGGAAUGGAAAUGAAAUGAAAGUGGCGAACGGGUGAGUAACACGUGAGCAACCUACCUUACACAGGGGGAUAGCCGUUGGAAACGACGAUUAAUACCGCAUGAGACCACAGAAUCGCAUGAUAUAGGGGUCAAAGAUUUAUCGGUGUAAGAAGGGCUCGCGUCUGAUUAGCUAGUUGGAAGGGUAAAGGCCUACCAAGGCGACGAUCAGUAGCCGGUCUGAGAGGAUGAACCGCCACAUUGGAACUGAGACACGGUCCAAACUCCUACGGGAGGCAGCAGUGGGGAAUAUUGCACAAUGGGGGGAACCCUGAUGCAGCGACGCCGCGUGAGCGAAGAAGGUUUUCGAAUCGUAAAGCUCUGUCCUAUGAGAAGAUAAUGACGGUAGCAUAGGAGGAAGCCCCGGCUAAAUACGUG
rnacentral:rRNA from 1 species